AUUCCUUUAAUUAUAUGCAGUUCCUUCUAUUAAUACCACCUCUCAUGCCUAUAACUCCUCAAUUUACCGUCUACAAUAUCAAGCUGUUUGUUGUUGCUCGACGCUCUCUUUUAAAUUUGAAAUGUCUCAUGUUACCGCUCAUCUUUCUCUCUUCUCUCGGAUCUAAAAUGUCACUGCUCGCUGCUUCUGGUAUAAAGAAGAUGAAUUAUCCACUGUUUAUGCACAUUGAUGCAUAAUUACUGGCCUAUACGUAAAGAAACUUAUUCUUUAAUAAAUUACAAAAUAUGUUUAGACUAUUUUAUCUUAUUUUUAUUCGCGCAAAUGAGAGUUUUUGUGUAAACUUAUAAAGGCUGCGAGUCCAUUUGCUAUUGCAACGAGGCCCCAUCAUUAUCUACAUGAAAAUGCCUUUACAUAGUAAACGUGCCCUUAUCAUUUUCGCAUUAUGAUCAUUAUCUAAAUAUUUAGUCAAAAUUCAAAAAUCAUAGUCUAAAUGAAUCAAUGAGAUGCAAGAUUUGUUACUAAGUGCUCUAUAAGUCAUCAAAGAAGACAAUGGUGUUAUACUUUAGACUCACUGAGAUUGCAUCAAACCCCUAAAUUGCCAACAUUAAUUACAAUUAUUUCAAGUAAGAUUACUUUAUUUGUUCACUAAUCUCAUACAAUUUUCACGAUUUAGGAGUCGUUUGAUUUGCAGUUUAUGAUUGAUUAGGAUUAACAUUAUCUUGAGAAAUUAGUGUGGAUUAGUGUGGAUUUAUAUUAUUUCAUGGGUGUUUAAUAUCAUGGCUACUUAAUCUUAUAUUGUGUUUGAUAUCCAUAGGAUUAUGUUGGAUUAUAUUAUCUAAUACCAAAACUAUCCUCAUAUAAUUUUAAAAAGAGUAAAUAUAUAAAACUAUCCACUUUCAUAUUGUAAAGAUAAAAAAUGUCCACUAAGAUAAAAAUAAUAAAAACUGUCCACUUUUUGAUUGAAAAGACAGAAAUACCCCUCUCCUAAAAAUAAAAAUUUCUCUCAAUCGUCGGAUACUCUCUCUCUCCCUUCUUCUCCCUCUCUCUCUCUCUCUCUCUCUCUCUAAAUCUGCGAAUUCUAUCUCUCUCUCUCUCUUUCAUCUCUCUCUUCACUCUCUUCUCUCUCAGCUCUCUGUCGCCCCGUCGCCGCCCUCUGAUUCUCGGCAAGCAGCGGUUACAAGGCUGCCACCACCGCGAUUCUGGGUCGCUUGAGGCCGAGCAGUCUAUCGCCGGAAAAAAUGGCCUCUCUUACCAAUCUCGCCCCCCCCCUCUCUGCUCCAGCCGACAGCAGCAGUCAGCCGGACCGCCGCCAUCGCCGCCUCCCUCCUCCUCUGAUUCUUUGAACGGCAGCCACAGCCAACCGGACCGCCGCCGUCAACAGCAGCAGCAGCUCUGCUGACUCCUCUCCGAACGACAGUAGCACCACCCAUAUCUUUCUCUCUUGACCGACGGACAGCAGGAGUCACAGGCCGCCUCCACCGCCGCCGCCGGUCCUCCCCCUCCUUAUGCCGCCCUCAUAAAACCAGUCGGAGCCCUCCCCCUCCCCAGACUCACGCGCACACACACAGCCCCAAGUUUGUGUUUUUUUUCAGUUCUUUAAUACUAACAUUAUUAGAAAUGCAGAAAGCAAACAUAUUAUGCAAGAUGAUGUAUCUCUAUAUGGUGAAGAGAGCAAACCUUAAGAAGGUUUCUACUAUUUGUGUCCGUAGGAAUUGGAUUCCAAGUCUGGAAUUCUGCAGAAAUUCUACUAUGAUGGGAUUUUGAUGCUAAUUUGCAGAAGUCUGAAUUGUGAUUAUUGAUUUUGUCAUGUCUGUGUAUGGCUUCGUUUAGAGGAUGGAGAUCAUGAGUUGAUGAUUGAGCUUUUAUUUAUGGAGAUUUAUGGAGAUUGUGUGGAGAUUGUGUGAAUGAUUUUCGUUCUAAGAUCUGUUGAGAUUGUUCGGAGAUUGAAUGUUGAGAUUGUUGAUUCGAAGGAAUUGUUGUAUUUUAAUUGUAGAUUGAAUUGAUUCGAAUAAUAUUUUUGUUGUAUUUUGAUUGUUGAUUUAGAGGAAUUGAUGUAUUUUGAUGGUAGAUUGAGUUGUUGUAUUUUAGUUGUUGUACAACAAUUUGAUUGAGCUGUAUAAUUAUUUUUUUAAUGUUCUUAAAUUCACAA